rnacentral:rRNA from 1 species
GUGGGGAAUAUUGGACAAUGGGGGCAACCCUGAUCCAGCGACGCCGCGUGAGUGAUGAAGGCCUUCGGGUCGUAAAGCUCUGUUGCAGGGGAAGAACACAAUGACGGUACCCUGCUAGAAAGGAUCGGCUAACUUCGUGCCAGCAGCCGCGGUAAGACGAGGGAUCCUAGCGUUGUUCGGAAUUAUUGGGCGUAAAGCGGGUGCAGGUGGCUUGGUAAGUCAGAUGUGAAAGCCUGGGGCUUAACCCCAGAAGUGCAUUUGAUACUGCUGAGCUUGAGUGCUGGAGAGGCUAGUAGAAUUCCUGGUGUAGUGGUGAAAUACGUAGAUAUCAGGAGGAAUACCGGAGGCGAAGGCGGAUAGCUGGCCAGACACUGACACUCAGACCCGAAAGCGUGGGGAUCAAACAGGAUUAGAUACCCUAGUAGUCC